rnacentral:rRNA from 1 species
GACGAACGCUGGCGGCGUGCUUAACACAUGCAAGUCGAACGGAAAGGCCUAGCUUGCUGGGUACUCGAGUGGCGAACGGGUGAGUAACACGUGGGUGAUCUGCCCCUGACUUUGGGAUAAGCCUGGGAAACUGGGUCUAAUACCGGAUAUUCAUUUUUCCUCUCCUGGGGAUUUGUGGAAAGCUUUUGCGGUUGGGGAUGGGCCCGCGGCCUAUCAGCUUGUUGGUGGGGUAAUGGCCUACCAAGGCGACGACGGGUAGCCGACCUGAGAGGGUGAUCGGCCACACUGGGACUGAGACACGGCCCAGACUCCUACGGGAGGCAGCAGUGGGGAAUAUUGCACAAUGGGCGCAAGCCUGAUGCAGCGACGCCGCGUGAGGGAUGACGGCCUUCGGGUUGUAAACCUCUUUCAGCUCCGACGAAGCGCAAGUGACGGUAGGAGCAGAAGAAGCACCGGCCAACUACGUG